AUGGUAGAUGGCACAUGUUUCGAAACAACGUGGUACCAAUUUAAUUGCAACUUCACACAUCAAAAUCAGCUGUGAAUAUCAGUAUGGCCGCUCAAAUAUCUACAAAAUAAAAUUGUUAUUGCUAUAUUCAUUUCACAAACAUAGUAAAGUGCAGUUUUAGUGCCUACACGCGUUAAAUAUUUUGAUUAAUCUUUUACAACCGUAUCGAUGUUGAUGUUGACUAAAAGUGUUGCGUCAUGACAGAAUAGACCUCUCUCUCACUGACAAACAAAUACAAUUUUGCUAACUAGAGAUUACGGCUAAAAGUGGUAGCAUUUCUAUUUCGCUCGUAUAACGUAUAUGUCGAGUGCAUCGCUGAUGUGAUUAAGUGAAUUUGAAUAGUAAUAAAUCUGAUAAUGAGUAGUGUUCGGUUAAGCUUCGUGUCUGUGGGGAGAAUCGCUGUAAGGAGAAAUUCACAGUUGACAUCAGGUGGCGCUCAAACAUGUCGUGCCCUGCGGCGCACAAGCACCCGCCCACUGAGCACGUGCGCCGUGCUCUGUAAGAGUCCAACCGAACAACCGCCCGGCCCGCCGCAUACCGCUAAAGACGCCGCAAGCAACGGUUCAUCAUCAGGCGGUAAGAAGUCGGGGGGUAAUGGCGUGCUUACAUGUCCGAAGUGCGGAGACCCUUGCACUCACGUGGAGACGUUCGUCAGUUCCACCAGAUUCGUCAAGUGCGAUAAAUGUCACCAUUUCUUCGUCGUACUUAGCGAGGUAGACACCAAGAAGAGCAUCAAGGACAAUGCCGAGAAUAAAUCUGGAUUUUACAGGAAACCACCACCGCCUCCCAAGAAGAUCUUCGAAUACCUCAAUAAACACGUAGUCGGACAGGAGUAUGCCAAGAAAGUUCUAUCAGUCGCCGUCUACAAUCACUACAAGCGCAUUUACAACAAUGUCACGAAUGGUACGACAACUGACGCCCACCAUCCCCUACAUCACACACACAGAGAUCUUCUACACUUGAGUCACAACAGCGGGGCUACCGGAGGAGGAGGAGCAGGGGGAGGCACAGAGGUGCUGGAGAGAAAUAACCACGAAUUGAGAUUGGAUAAAAGCAAUGUACUUUUGCUAGGACCAACUGGAAGCGGUAAAACAUUGCUUGCACAAACUAUAGCGCAAUGUCUUGACGUACCCUUCGCGAUCUGCGAUUGCACGACACUGACGCAGGCUGGCUACGUAGGUGAAGAUAUCGAAAGCGUCAUCGCGAAACUGUUGCAAGACGCUAACUUCAAUGUCGAACGUGCUCAAACGGGCAUCGUGUUUCUUGACGAAGUGGAUAAAAUUGGUGCCGUACCCGGCAUACAUCAACUCAGAGACGUGGGAGGCGAGGGCGUCCAGCAGGGAAUGCUGAAGAUGCUCGAGGGCGCCGUGGUGUCGGUGCCCGAGCGGAACUCGCGCAAGCUGCGCGGCGACGCGGUGCAGGUGGACACCACCAACAUCCUGUUCGUGGCCAGCGGCGCCUACAACGGGCUGGACCGGCUCAUCCAGCGCCGCAACAACGAGAAGUACCUCGGGUUCGGCGCGUGGGACCCCAAGUCGGGGCGGCGCGCGGCGCUGGCGGCGGCCGCGGCCGACGCGUCGCCGCUCGACAGCGCGCGCGCCGAGGCCGACGAGCGCGACCACUGGCUGCGCGCCGUGCAGGCGCGCGACCUCAUCGACUUCGGCAUGAUCCCCGAAUUCGUCGGCAGGUUCCCGGUGCUGGUGCCCUUCCACAGUCUCAACCAGGACCUGCUCGUGAGGAUACUCACUGAACCCAAGAAUGCUAUUGUGGCGCAGUACAAGCUGCUGUUCGCGAUGGACAAGUGCGAGCUUUCGUUUAGUGAUGAAGCGCUGCAAGCCGUCGCCUCGCUCGCGAUGGAGCGCAAGACUGGAGCGAGAGGACUCAGAGCCAUCAUGGAAAACCUGCUCCUGGAGGUGAUGUUCGAGAUUCCCGGCUCCGACAUCACGUGCGUGCACAUACACGAGGGCUGCGUGUCCCGCAGCGAGCCGCCGCAGCUGCGGAGGCGGCACGCGCAGCGGGAGCGCGACCUGCACCACUGGCCCUCGGUGCGCGUCACCAACUGUACGUAGGGACACACACACACACACAGCGCGACCUGCACCACUGGCCCUCGGUGCGCGUCACCAACUGAAGAAUGCAUUAAAGCUGCGAUGUGGCCGCGAUCAAAAAAUGGAUGUACUAUUUAAAUUUGCGAACUAAAAGCGACGGAACCCGAGCCGUCUGUCACUCAGUGUGCGCUGUGAGGACGAGUAUGGUGGUCAUGACGAUAGACUACGAAUAGAAACUGCAUAGACAAACAAUAAUCUAUAGACAACUGAAUUUACCAUAGAUAAAAAAAAAUUAAAAAAUCAAGAACAUAAAAAAAAAGAUUAAUGAUAACUAAUUAUCCAGUUUUUUGAUUUGUUUAACAUUUUUAACUGUAUUUGAUGAAAAUAUUUAAAACAUUAUCCAUACGAAGGCUAGUUUCAGCAUUUAAAAUAAGUAAUUUUAUAAUUGAAGUUUACAUUUGAGUUGAUGAAGAUAUAUUGUUUUAGCACCAAAUUAGUUUAGAAAUUGAAGAUAAGUGUUUCAAAAUUAAAAUCCGAAAAAAUUAAAAAAAUUCGUUAGUAUAAUAACUAUUUUAACAACUAAAAUGUUUUAAUUUGAAAAUUACAAAGAUUGAAUAGUUCUUGUUUUAAAAACGCAUGUUUGCUCUAAUUCUAAUACUUUAUGUUUUAUAAAAAUGAUCUUUAUUUAUAGUUCCUUUAGGGCUAAAUUUCGAGUUUUGUGUAAAAAUACAAAAAGUAAAUUUAAUAAGGAAACAUGUUGUAUUGUCAGCCACCGUACAACAUUGCUCUUGUGAUGUAAAUUACUGUAAAUAAUAAUUAAUAGAAAAAUCUAGAUAAAAUAGUUAAGGUUCCAUAGAUUAGGUUUUUUUUUCUAUGCCCAUAUAAGUUAAGUACCGAAAUAUAUAGUAAUAAUACUGUUUGGAAACACUGUGAGAGAAAUUAUAUUUUGACACUUGUUUUUUUUUUUUAAUUUUAUUUAAUUAUUGAUAAGUUGUGACGUGAUUAUGAAAAAAAAAUGAAAUUUCAGAAAUUUCAUGUUACGAUACAUGGUGCGUAAAUUAUUUAAAAAAGUAAUCACAUUGCAGCUACAAUUAAAAUAGUCUAAGCCUAUUUUCGAGAUAAAAUAUAAAGAAAAGAACGGAA